CAGUCCUGUGCCCUGUGCUCUGGGGUGGCCCUGCUGGAGCAGGGAGGAGGCACCAGUGACCCCACUGUGGUUCUGUGAUUCUGUGAGCUAACACAAAGCAAGAUUCUCACUGAGGGUUUCCAAAUCUCCACAUGGCCACGUACCAGGGUGAUCUUUGUGCAGAAAGGCCAAGUGCAGAACAGCCCCCAGCAAUCUGCAGUACCAGCAGGACCUGGGCAGUGUGACCCUCUGGGAGGGAGCAAAGCCCUGGCCAAGGGCAAAGCCCUGGCUUUGGAGCUGGUCAUGCAGCCUUGAAAUGAAAAACAAAGCAGCUGGAGUUUCUUUGGCCAGGGACAGAUGCAAAGCUCAGAGCUUUUUUGCUACAGAAUCACUGAAGUCUCCCCAUGCACUGUCACUUUGCAGUUGCAUAAAAGCCCCCUGCCAGCCACUGCUGCUAUUUCUUCUCCAGAUCAAGGUCUAGCAAGGUGUGCACAGAGUUACCCUCUCUGAUGUGGGCCCUGCUGCUCACACAGCUGAGUGUGCUCACUAUUUGCUUUCCUGCUCUACUCCAGCUCCAAACAGCCCAGCCCUGGCAGCUGCCUCUGCUUGUGGUGCCUUUGGGAUGGAGCUGAGGCAAAAUCCUCAUUUUUACUGCAGAUGAAAACGGCUCUUUUCCUGUCCCAGGGGUGCUGUGUGUCCCCAGUUUUGCUGCACUGCAGCAUUCCCUGGGUACCCACAGAGGUACCCUGAUCAGGUGGUGAUUAUUCAGUGUUCAGCUCACAGGAGGAAAAUAGAUUUUUCCAGCAGCCUGGGUGUCACAAAGCCUCCAAAACCAACACUCUGCUGAGGUAGCCCCAAAAAGACAUCAUCACAUCCAAGAGCUGCUUUUCCCUCCAAUGUCAAGUGAGAUGAGAAAGGUUUGGCAUGGGGAGAUGCUUUGGGCUCAGAAUUGCUCGGGGACACUGAAAUUUUGGUGGUUGAGAGGCUUUUCCCCAUUUCAGUGACAAGUGUUCAGAGCAGUGGCUGGAGCUGUGAGUGCUUGGAAAGCCAUGAAUCCAGGUAUAGCCAGGGUUGGGAUAUCUGCACACAAAAGGCUUCAGAGGAGACUCCUCAGGGCUGAUGGGAGACUGCCAGAGCACAGAGCUGCCACCUGUAUGUACCUUUUAUCAUGAAAAAAUUGCAAUUGAUUUGACUGCUGCGCCAGUGCUGCAUUGUGUGUGUGGGUAAUUUCCAGGUAGUCUGGUUACCAUAAAGCAGAGAAUGCACAUAGAUUACACUGAAAACAAAUAAAAAUUAUAAUCUCAGGGGUCCGAUCUAAUUUUUACUAUUUAUUUCCUAGGGAAAAGUCAAAUGCUUCAGCAUAUAAGGCAACUUAGAAUAUGAUUUUUUUACUUUUGUUCCAAUUUCUCUCAGCCAUUUACACUUCUUUGGUUGAUCACAAUAGAGUUGAAACAUUCAAAAUAGUAUUUUAAAACCUUUUUCUAGGGAAGAUCUGGUGGGUUUAUAUUUGCUGAGUACCUUCUUUGCAAGCAGCAUUCUAUUUGCAUGAAAGCCUAGAACAUGUUGUUAAUAAAAAAGUCCCAGCUCUUCCUGAAGUUGUGACUUUUACAAUUGGUGUGAUGACAAAGUGGAAAUUAUCUCUCAGACUAAAUCUGGAUGCUUGUGCUCUCUAGUGACACAGCCAGGCAUUUUUUCUUUCACUUGGACAAAACCCAGCCUUUUUCACAUUAUUUCUCCUCUCACUUUCACAGAAUCACAGAACUAGAAGGACAAGGCAUGAAGUAAAGUAAAAGUAAAGAGGCAGAGGAAGGGUGGGGAGGAAAUGAGCACUUUGAGUCCUGAAAGUAGUUUCGGUUUUAAGCAGGGGACCAAUUUUCAGGUUAGAUGUUGCUUUUAACCCUCUCUGCUGCUCUAAAACAGAGGGAUGUCUCUGGCAGAGGCAGCCACGAAAGUGGGAGCGAAAGGGAUUAUCUGCACCAAAAUCGCUGUGUAUUGGUUUUCCCCCCACCUCAAUCUCUCUAUCUGUGCCGGUGUCUUUCUCUCUUUCCUCUUUGCAGCACAGAAUUUACAGUAAAAACACAGGAAGCUGAAUGAUUUCCUCUGAGGAAAGUACCUGACGAGAGGUGAAGGAGCAGAGUCAUCAGCAGGCCCCUUGAGCCAUCCCUGCCCAUGCAGUCAGUGAUGCUUUCAGGAGGUGCUGCCUUGGAACCAGACACCUUUCAGGUGGUUUUUGCCAGGUCAGGCAGGCUGGCACAGGAAAAUUGGUUUUUUGCCUGUGGCAAUCCCAGAAAAGGGAGUCCUGAAUUUGUGAGUAGCAGUUGGUGAUUUGUGAAUAACAGCAGAUAUUUAUUUAUUUGUGAUGCUGCAUUUUGUGCACCAAAAACCACUUAACCACAGUCACUCUGCUCACAGUGGUGUGGAGGCCCCUCUGUCCCUCCAGAGAAUGUGAGAUGGCCCUGAGGAGGGACAAAGAAGGCACUUAGGAAGGGACAGGCACAUUUUUAGCUGCCAUUCCAAACCUGUCCCUCCCAAAGGAGCUGAGCUGGGAAAGCCAAACAAGCAGCACUAGGGAAGGAGACCUGGGCCCCCUCCAUUGCAAGACUCCUUGGAAAACCUCAGCCCAGACUUCCAAAAUUUCAGAGGUCUUGAAAGGGGACUUUUGCCCUAAAAAUACCCAAAGCCUUAUCCUCAGUGUCAUCUGAAAGGGCACAAGUGAGUAACUCUGCAGAUAGCAUCUCAGAGAGACCAUGAGCUCCCCACACUUCACUAGUGACUAAAGCUGAAGUGGAUUUUUCAGCUGAGUGGGCCUAAAUGUAGGAGUGGAAGGGAUACAGCGAUAGGUACAGCACCAGCCUCUUUAUUUUGCAAUAACUUCUCCUCUCCAAUAACUCCUGCCUCCUCCAGGAAACUUUCCUUUAGCUUACACAGCUGUUGAAAUGCCUGUGUGGAGUUACAUUUUCCUGCUGCAGCCUCCACUCGGGAUCUCAUUGCCACUGCAAAGUGCAACAGGCCUGAUUCAUUUUGCAGCAGGAACAUGAUUGACGCAAGCCCGGAUGGAGACUCAUUCUCAGCCCCGUGGAAAUUCCUCACCAAGGCUGCAAGUCAAGUGAAAACCUCACUGUACAAUCAUCAGGUUGUGUUUCUACUCCUAAACCUUUGGGAUGGAGCCAGGAACAGCUUGUGAGCAGGCGAGGGUGACCCAGAAAGCCAGAGCAGUUCUUACAUCAUCUUUUAUUCUGGUUUUGCUCUUUUUUUUGGAUAUUUUUUUGCUGAGAAUUGUCUUUCCCUCUCACCUACACCAACUCCUUCACCUUUAGAUUGAAGGCCUGAUUAAGAUGUGUGUUUUUCCAGGGCCGUCCAAGAAUAAAAAUCAUCCGUGCUGUUCUGGCUGAGCUUUGCUUGUAGUCUCCUGCUGACAAACCACACCUUGUUUAUCAGGACCAACAUUUGUUGAACACACACAGAGCUGCUGGAGCUCUGAGCGCUGAGAUUUCUGCACCUGCUGGGGAAAUCACCGGGGGAAAGGUGGAGGAACAAAGGCUGGAGCCGACUUAUUUCAAAGAAAAUGUUAAGGCAGUGCUGAACAGGGGCUCCAAAGCUGCUGGGGGGGUUCAUGUCUCCUUCUGUAUUUUCAUUUUACAUUAUUUUACCCACUUCUCAUUAAACAAAUGGUAUAAUUUUGUCAAUUCUCUGUGUUUGUAACACUCUGUGAAGAAUUAUUCUCUGCCUUGACCUCCUGAUGGAGUGCAGAGAACCAGCAGCAACCAGCCAAGCACCACCUCAGCAAUCCCAGCUCUAUUCCUGCGUCAUCUUCUCAUCCCUGCAAGUUAGAAAUAAAAAGUGGCAAGGUACCUGUGAGGCUGAUGCCACCUCCUUGCCAUUUUUUGGGAUCAAGCUACUGCUUGUUGAUGACACUUGAACAUUUCUAUUCUGCUUUCCUUUCUAAUCAAAUUGUGGUAGAAAAUAUUCAGUGGGUGAAGCACAAAGAGUGCUGAGAAGAAGAAGAGAAGAAGAAGAAGAAGAAGAAGAAGGAGAAGGAGAAGAAGAAGAAGAAGAAGAAGAAGAAGAAGAAGAAGAAGAUGAUGAUGACGAUGACGAUGAUGAUGAUGAUGAUGAUGAUGAUGAUGAUGAAAAGGAGAAGGAGAAGGAGAAAAGGAAGAGGAGAAAAAAAAGGAAAAAAGGCUCAGGUGAGAUUUCCUGGCUUUCUGGUGACAUCCAGCUCAGCAAUGGGUGAGAUCAGUUCCCUUGGCUGGAAUUGCAUGAGGAGAGGAGGUGAGGGAGCUGUACCCAGAGGUGAUGCAGCAGAUGUGGGUGCUCCAGUUCAGCUGACACCAAGGUGACACCUCUGUUGCAGAGGGAAGAAUUUAAGGUAUCUGUCAUCUCCCACAUCACUCUGGAGUGCUCUAAUCACUACACACUCAUGCCUGGAGUCAGAAACAACCACAACCACUUAGCAGUCCAAGUCUCACAAAAAGCCAGGGGAUUGAAUAACUUGAAAGUGCCAUCAGCCUUACUCCCUCAAAUCAUGCAUCCAUCUGACUUCUGCCCACCUGGCUUGAAGCUUUCACCUCGCUUAAGUAAGAAACCCAAGCAUGAAUUCUUUCUCAGACUGUAGUUAAGGUUAGGGCAGUGACACUGGAAAAGGAAUUUUCCAUCCACUUGUCUCAAAAAUACCUCAUGGAUACAGUCCUAACCUCAUAAACCCCUCUCAUGCCCCCAGAUAUCUCCUUCAGUGCCUUUAGGACCUUAAAUCUGGCUGAGGAAAUAAUUUUGAAGCCCUUCCUCUCCUGCCCCCUUGAGGCUCCCAAACUGCUUCAUCACGUUAAGGAUGAACCCCGGCACUGAGGCUUGGCAGGCUCAUGAACAGAUUUUAAAUCUGAGCAUGUUUUUAAACUCUUCUCACGAGUUACAAACAGGAAAGGGGGGAAAGCCAGUGAAAUUCCCUUCCAGGAGCCUGUAGUGGAGCUGCUGGUCUCAAAUCAAGCUUGUGUCAGCUCUGAAGGGUGUUUUGGCAGGUCUGACACCAAGGAUUUGCCAGCUUCCCUCUCUCAAUGGGGAUCAUGGAGAAUACCAAAUAGGGCAUCUGUCAGUGAGUAAUUACAGGAAAUAUCAGCUUCCUUUUGUGCAGCGUGUUUGACUCCUGUCUGGGGCGAGGCACAAACCUGAGCCUGUCUCCAGGAGCUCUUUGGAGCUGCCAAGGUAAAUGACACCAGAGGCAGAGCCAGACAGCUCUGGGAUGUUACCAGAAAUGAGGAAAUCAUCCCAUAAAUGUCACUUCUUCCCCUGACUGUCUGCAAACAGACUGCCAGAGCUUUCCAGCACCCAGAAACACGGAUCCAGUGUCAUUUCCUCAUAGCAUGGAAAGCAUCUGGAGGGCAGAGCAUCGUUACUGGAUUUGUUCUCCUUUAUGCUGACUAUCAUUUACUGUGAUGAACACCUAGGAAGGGUGUUAAUUACAGAGAAUUAAUUUAAUAUAGUGCUGCCAGUGCCCUGGAGGGUCAAAGGAAAUUUAUAUUCUCCGUGCAACACAAACAAUGUUCAGGAGUGUAACUUCAGCCAGGAGUGAGGCAAGAAACAUUUACAAAACAUUUGCAAAAUGUUUGCAAAAUGCAAUCUUGAAGUAGGGCAGAGAGACUGGAUUAAAACAAGAGAUCUUUUAUUGUCUUGAACUGCAGGGUGUGAUACAGAGGAACUACAUGGAUUUUCAUUCAUAUUAAAAAAAAAAAAAGAGAGCCCUUUAUUUACACAAGUGUUCAAACUGCCCAUGGUACCUAACAACAACUCUGAAUUCUCUUUGUUUUGCUUUGUUAGUUAUUCCCACCUAGAUGGAGCAAGCAUUGGUCAGUAGCACUUAGAAAAACAUGGAAGAAGCUUUUGGGCAGGAAAAAAAAAAAUUCUCUUCUGAAAGAACCCAAAUCCUCAUGGGCAUUUCACUGUAACAAACCCACCAGAAUAAUUACAACUAGUCACUGACAAAAGGAACAGUUUUCAGUAGGGGCUCAACACCUAAUUCAUUUCAGUCUGUCUUUAUUUCCCCAUCUAUGUAAAUAUAUCCUGGACAUGCAUAAACUCCACAUGGAUGAAAAAAAAAGGUAGAAAUUUAUUUAAAAGUAAUUGUGCUUUUAUUUAUAAAAAAAAAUUUACAAUCAGACACUGUCCUGCUGUGUUUCCAAAAGCAUGGUUCUCUUAAAAAUGACAAAAUGUAGCUUAUUAUUAUUAUCAUUAUUAUUAUUAUUAUUAUUACUUUGUGUUUAUAUUAAUAAUAUUAAUCUUAUGCUUAAAUUUAAAAACCUACUGCUUUCUCUUCCCAUUCCCUCCUCUGUGGUACUUGAUAUAUAUAGAAAAGGCAUUCACACCACCAAUUAUUUUAACUUAUAACUAAUAAUAAUAAUAAUAAUGAUAAUAAUGAUAAUUAAUCUUACACA